GAGUUAGGUUAAUUCUAGACCCAGAACCUUCAAAGUUCUAAGCAAGCAAGAUAGCUUACCCUCUG
rnacentral:tRNA from 1 species